rnacentral:rRNA from 1 species
AUGAACGCUGGCGGCGUGCCUAACGUACAUGCGAAGUCGAACGGACCGAUGGAAAGAUUAGCUUGCUAUGAUUUUCCGGAAGGUUAGUGGCGGACGGGUGAGUAACGCGUGGGUAACCUGCCUCAUACAGGGGGAUAGCAGUUGGAAACGACUGGUAAUACCGCAUAAGCGCACGGUACCGCAUGGUACAGUGUGGAAAAACUCCGGUGGUAUGAGAUGGACCCGCGUCCGAUUAGCCAGUUGGCGGGGUAACGGCCCACCAAAGCGACGAUCGGUAGCCGGCCUGAGAGGGCGGACGGCCACAUUGGGACUGAGACACGGCCCAGACUCCUACGGGAGGCAGCAGUGGGGGAUAUUGCACAAUGGGGGAAACCCUGAUGCAGCGACGCCGCGUGGGGUGAAGAAGUAUUUUCGGUAUGUAAAGCCCUAUCAGCAGGGACGAUAAUGACGGUACCUGAGUAAGAAGCCCCGGCUAACUACGUGCC